AUCCAGUUGAAAGGACAGUCUCAGAAACAGGGGAGCCUUUCCACAAGCAGCAGCUGUUCCUGCUGUUGGGUGUGCACGUCAGAUUCUGCUGUCUGCAGAAAUCUGGCACACAGUGAAUGUCCAGAGGUUCUGGAGGACGACCUCGGCGUGUUUAUCUAUGUCGGGCCAAGUGGAGUGACCAGUAUUUUGUAUCGUUCUUAACCGAGGUGCCCUCCUGAGUGCAGACAUGAAGAGAACUUUCUUGGACAUAUGUAAGUAAAGAUUGCAGCAAAUGGUUGUGUUUCAUGGCUCUGACAAUACUCACGUUUUGUUUGAUUUCAGCAAUUCUGUCAAUUCUUAAUUUUAAAGGUAGAAAAAAAAUGAAUACUAAAAUAUUGCAGUACUAUAGUAAUGUUGCCAUUAUAACUUUGACCAGAUUUUAAAAGCCUGCUGAGCACACCUGAGAUGUGCAAUGAACAGACCAUACAAAAAAUGUGGGAAGUGUUUUGUCAGCUCUCUUGCAGGCAGGUGUUGCCUAUGACAUCCAGCAGAAUGGAAAAGACUUUGUCUAUCAGUCAAAUACAGCAGGAUUAAAUAAAAAAAAUUGCUUUCUUUCUGGGGUUUUUAUAGAUGAAAAUGAA